rnacentral:rRNA from 1 species
AGUGAACGCUGGCGGGAGGAAGAACACAGGCAAGUCGAACGGCAGCACAGUAAGAGCUUGCUCUUACGGGUGGCGAGUGGCGGACGGGUGAGGAAUACAUCGGAAUCUACUUUUUCGUGGGGGAUAACGUAGGGAAACUUACGCUAAUACCGCAUACGACCUACGGGUGAAAGCAGGGGAUCUUCGGACCUUGCGCGAUUGAAUGAGCCGAUGUCGGAUUAGCUAGUUGGCGGGGUAAAGGCCCACCAAGGCGACGAUCCGUAGCUGGUCUGAGAGGAUGAUCAGCCACACUGGAACUGAGACACGGUCCAGACUCCUACGGGAGGCAGCAGUGGGGAAUAUUGGACAAUGGGCGCAAGCCUGAUCCAGCCAUACCGCGUGGGUGAAGAAGGCCUUCGGGUUGUAAAGCCCUUUUGUUGGGAAAGAAAAGCAGCAGGUUAAUACCCCGCUGUUCUGACGGUACCCAAAGAAUAAGCACCGGCUAACUUCGUG